UACGGAGGGGGCUAGCGUUGUUCGGAAUUACUGGGCGUAAAGCGCACGUAGGCGGACUGAAAAGUUGGAGGUGAAAUCCCAGGGCUCAACCUUGGAACUGCCUUCAAAACUAUCAGUCUGGAGUUCGAGAGAGGUGAGUGGAAUUCCGAGUGUAGAGGUGAAAUUCGUAGAUAUUCGGAGGAACACCAGUGGCGAAGGCGGCUCACUGGCUCGAUACUGACGCUGAGGUGCGAAAGCGUGGGGAGCAAACAGGAUUAGAAACCCCUGUAGUCC
rnacentral:rRNA from 1 species